AACGAACGCUGGCGGCAGGCCUAACACAUGCAAGUCGAGCGAGACCUUCGGGUCUAGCGGCGGACGGGUUAGUAACGCGUGGGAAUGUACCCUUCUCUACGGAAUAGCCUCGGGAAACUGAGAGUAAUACCGUAUACGCCCUUCGGGGGAAAGAUUUAUCGGAGAAGGAUCAGCCCGCGUUGGAUUAGGUAGUUGGUGGGGUAAUGGCCUACCAAGCCUACGAUCCAUAGCUGGUUUGAGAGGAUGAUCAGCAACACUGGGACUGAGACACGGCCCAGACUCCUACGGGAGGCAGCAGUGGGGAAUCUUAGACAAUGGGCGAAAGCCUGAUCUAGCCAUGCCGCGUGGACGAUGAAGGCCUUAGGGUUGUAAAGUCCUUUCAGCUGGGAAGAUAAUGACGGUACCAGCAGAAGAAGCCCCGGCUAACUCCGUGCCAGCAGCCGCGGUAAUACGGAGGGGGCUAGCGUUGUUCGGAAUUACUGGGCGUAAAGCGCACGUAGGCGGAUCAGAAAGUUAGAGGUGAAAUCCCAGGGCUCAACCUUGGAACUGCCUUUAAAACU
rnacentral:rRNA from 1 species